UCCGGAAAAUCAAGGCUGAGGCGUGAUGACGAGGCACUACGGUGCUGAAGCAACAAAUGCCCUGCUUCCAGGAAAAGCCUCUAAGCAUCAGGUAACAUCAAAUCGUACCCCAAACCGACACAGGUGGUCAGGUAGAGAAUACCAAGGCGCUUGAGAGAACUCGGGUGAAGGAACUAGGCAAAAUGGUGCCGUAACUUCGGGAGAAGGCACGCUGAUAUGUAGGUGAGGUCCCUCGCGGAUGGAGCUGAAAUCAGUCGAAGAUACCAGCUGGCUGCAACUGUUUAUUAAAAACACAGCACUGUGCAAACACGAAAGUGGACGUAUACGGUGUGACGCCUCCCCGGUGCCGGAAGGUUAAUUGAUGGGGUUAGCGCAAGCGAAGCUCUUGAUCGAAGCCCCGGUAAACGGCGGCCGUAACGAUAACGGUCCUAAGGUAGCGAAAUUCCUUGUCGGGUAAGUUCCGACCUGCACGAAUGGCGUAAUGAUGGCCAGGCUGUCUCCACCCGAGACUCAGUGAAAUUGAACUCGCUGUGAAGAUGCAGUGUACCCGCGGCAAGACGGAAAGACCCCGUGAACCUUUACUAUAGCUUGACACUGAACAUUGAGCCUUGAUGUGUAGGAUAGGUGGGAGGCUUUGAAGUGUGGACGCCAGUCUGCAUGGAGCCGACCUUGAAAUACCACCCUUUAAUGUUCGAUGUUCUAACGUUGACCCGUAAUCCGGGUUGCGGACAGUGUCUGGUGGGUAGUUUGACUGGGGCGGUCUCCUCCUAAAGAGUAACGGAGGAGCACGAAGGUUGGCUAAUCCUGGUCGGACAUCAGGAGGUUAGUGCAAUGGCAUAAGCCAGCUUGACUGCGAGCGUGACGGCGCGAGCAGGUGCGAAGGCAGGUCAUAGUGAUCCGGUGGUUCUGAAUGGAAGGGCCAUCGCUCAACGGAUAAAAGGUACUCCGGGGAUAACAGGCUGAUACCGCCCAAGAGUUCAUAUCGACGGCGGUGUUUGGCACCUCGAUGUCGGCUCAUCACAUCCUGGGGCUGAAGUAGGUCCCAAGGGUAUGGCUGUUCGCCAUUUAAAGUGGUACGCGAGCUGGGUUUAGAACGUCGUGAGACAGUUCGGUCCCUAUCUGCCGUGGGCGCUGGAGAACUGAGGGGGGCUGCUCCUAGUACGAGAGGACCGGGGUGGACGCAUCACUGGUGUUCGGGUUGUCAUGCCAAUGGCACUGCCCGGUAGCUAAAUGCGGAAGAGAUAAGUGCUGAAAGCAUCUAAGCACGAAACUUGCCCCGAGAUGAGUUCUCCCUGACUCCUUGAGAGUCCUGAAGGAACGUUGAAGACGACGACGUUGAUAGGCCGGGUGUGUAAGCGCAGCGAUGCGUUGAGCUAACCGGUACUAAUGAAUC
rnacentral:rRNA from 1 species